UACGGAGGGGGCUAGCGUUGUUCGGAAUUACUGGGCGUAAAGCGCGUGUAGGCGGCUAAGUAAGUCGGGCGUGAAAUCCCACGGCUCAACCGUGGAAGUGCACUCGAAACUGCAUAGCUAGAGUCCUGGAGAGGAAGGUGGAAUGCUUGGUGUAGAGGUGAAAUUCGUAGAUAUCAAGCGGAACACCGGUGGCGAAGGCGGCCUUCUGGACAGUGACUGACGCUGAGACGGCGAAAAGCGUGGGGGAGCAAACAGGG
rnacentral:rRNA from 1 species